UUCAAGGAAUAUAAUUUAUAUAACACAUAUUCAUACCGUAUAUACAUAAAUAAAUCAAUAUGCGUGUAAGCAAGCAGCUGUUACAUCGAACUAUAUGUGACACACUCUCCUGAAAGUGUCCACCACUUGAGCAGACGUUGCUGGAACACGAAAAUCUACGAUGAAAUGUAUUAUAUACUUGUGUCUUCUCACCGUAGGUGCUGCUAAGAAUAUGUCUUGUAAUUCCGAAGACCUAUGCCCCGAUGCCUGGAUAAAAUAUCCAAUAACAACGCAUGAUAUAAACUACUGCCCACGAAUUAAAAUGUAUGAAGUUUGUACGAAGAAUCAUCACCCAGAGUGUCUCGCUUUCUACAUAUAUCUUUAUCGCUUGUUAUGUAUUGAUCCUAAACCAUUAGAGAGUCGUGCUUCGCCCUGCUUUAUGAGUUCCUACAACAUAUUACUGAUACAUAUUUUAUUGAUGUUGAUGUGCUGCAAUUGAAAAUCACCCGAAAAGAAUAUAUUUGAUGUAAUAAUAUUAUGUCCUUACCACAAAUCGAAUCUGAAGCUGCAAUUGUGAACAAUAUAAGGAAACCAUAUAUACAUACAUACAUGUGCAUAUAUAU